GUUGAACGCUGGCGGCGUGCCUAACACAUGCAAGUCGAACGGAGUCCAGCCUUAGAUUCCUUCGUUGCAAAGAGGGGAAGACUGAGUGGCGGACGUGUGAGUAACACGUUGGCAACGUGGGUCAGAGAGGGGGAUAACAGACAGAAAUUGCUGCUCAUAGCGCAUAAGCACACACUGCCGCAUGGCAGUGUGUGAAAAGAGAAUCGCUAUGAGAUGGACCCGCGUCGGAUUAGCCAGUUGGCAGGGUAAGAGCCUACCAAAGCGACGAUCAGUAGACGAUUUGAGAGGAUGAACGGCCACAUUGGGACUGAGACACGGCCCAAACUCCUACGGGAGGCAGCAGUGGGGGAUAUUGCAAAAUGGGGGGAACCAUGAUGCAGCGACGCCGCGUGAGUGAAGAAGUAUUUCGGUAUGUAAAGCUAUAUCAGAAGGGAAGAUAAUGACAGUACCUGAAUAAGAAGCCCCGGCUAACUCCGUG
rnacentral:rRNA from 1 species